GACGUAGGGCGCAAGCGUUGUCCGGAUUUAUUGGGCGUAAAGAGCUCGUAGGCGGCUUGUUGCGUCGUCCGUGAAAACCUGUGGCUCAACUACAGGCUUGCGGUCGAUACGGGCGGGCUGGAGUUCGGUAGGGGAGACUGGAAUUCCUGGUGUAGCGGUGAAAUGCGCAGAUAUCAGGAGGAACACCAAUGGCGAAGGCAGCUCACUGGGACGGUAUUGACGCUGAGACGCGAAAGCGUGGGGAGCGAACAGG
rnacentral:rRNA from 1 species